rnacentral:siRNA from 1 species
AGCAAUUCUCUGUGUUGUGUUGUU